AUGGUGGUGGCCGAGCCGUGUGCUGACCGACCAGCAGGAAUGGGCAGUGUUGGAAAUGGUGAGGACCAGGAAUGACAUACAGCUGUACGGCUGUCCGAAAUAAAGCAGGCCAUUUAGGAGAACGAUGACUGCUUUACCAAUGUGGCGUCCAUCAGCCUACCAACAAUCACUCGCCUUUUGAAGAGGCUCCAGGUAUCUUAGAAACACAUUUACCUGGUGCCUUUUGAGAGAAACAACGACCGGGUGAAACAACUUCAGGCCGAGUAUGUUCAGAGGGUGGUUGUGCUUGAUGCUGCUGUGAACCAUCACAAUAAUAUCUUUGUUGAUGAAGCGGGCUUCCAAAACUGGCCAAACCUCGGCGCCGUGGGCGGAACCUCAUCGGGCCAACAGGUGACCUGGACAACGUGGAGGAAACAUCUCCAGCUAUCUCUGAAGAUGGUGUGGUAGGACGUAGGCCAUUACUUGGGUCCUAAAAUGCUGCACACCUAAUUGUGUUUAUUAAUGAAAUUGAGCAGGCCUGUCAAGGUGAAGGGGUCAUGUUAUUGUGUGGGACAAUGUCAGGUUCAACCAUGCAGAGGUGGUUCAGGCAUGGUUUCGGGCCCAUCCCCGAUUCGUGACCCUAUACCUGCCCCCAUGCUCUCCUUCCCUCAAAUCCUAUUGAGGAUUUUUUUUUAUCAGCAUGGGGGUGGAAGGUGUAUGAUCGCCAUCCCCAUGAGCAUGCCACCCUCCUUCUGGCCAUGGAUGAGGCAUGCGAUGACGUCAAUGCAGACCAAUGUCAAGCUUGGAUUCGCUAUGCCUAAAGGUUUCCCCAUGGUGCAUGAACAAUGAAGACAUUCACUGUGAUGUGGAUUAGAAUGUAUGACCAAAUGCUCAAGAAAGGCUUGGUGCAAUGCUAAACGUUAUGUUUUAUUUUCAUUCAUUUCAUUUGUUACAUUUGAUUACAGACAGUACACCUAUGUUACAAAUGUUUUUUGUUUGUUGCAUGAAUGAUUGUAGAAUAUGUCUUCAUUGAUCACACCUUUGAUUACACAUUGGAUAGAUUUUAUGGAAGUUAUAGAUUUUCUGUCAAUUUUGGUGGGGGUACUGUACGUUUAUUGCCUAAUGUGAAAACGGUAUAAUUUACAAUAUUUGCAUAUUACAUUUCUAAGGGCGAUUUGAAACACCCAUCUUGCAUCGUUUGCUAUUGGAUUAACUGGUAGAUAUAAAACGACUAAAUUGAAAA